rnacentral:rRNA from 1 species
GAUGAACGCUGGCGGCGUGCUUAACACGUGCAAGUCGAACGGUGAAGCAGGAGCUUGCUCCUGUGGAUCAGUGGCGAACGGGUGAGUAACACGUGAGCAAUCUGCCCUGGACUCUGGGAUAAGCGUUGGAAACGACGUCUAAUACCGGAUACGACGCGCGAAGGCAUCUUCUGCGCGUGGAAAGAAUUUCGGUUCGGGAUGAGCUCGCGGCCUAUCAGCUAGUUGGUGAGGUAACGGCUCACCAAGGCGACGACGGGUAGCCGGCCUGAGAGGGUGACCGGCCACACUGGGACUGAGACACGGCCCAGACUCCUACGGGAGGCAGCAGUGGGGAAUAUUGCACAAUGGGCGCAAGCCUGAUGCAGCAACGCCGCGUGAGGGACGACGGCCUUCGGGUUGUAAACCUCUUUUAGUAGGGAAGAAGCGAAAGUGACGGUACCUGCAGAAAAAGCACCGGCUAACUACGUGCCAGCCGCCGCGGUAAAAC